GCUGGGCGGGGCCCGCGGCGGUGGCGGCGACUGGCCGGCGGGGCUGACCACUUACCGCAGCAUCCAAGUCGGCCCUGGUGCUGCGGCCAGGUGGGACCUCUGCAUUGAUCAGGCUGUGGUCUUCAUCGAAGAUGCUAUUCAGGUCGGUGGCACCUGCUCCCUGUGGCCGGGCCUGGGGGGUGGCCGCCCUCCGAUUGGCUCGCCCCUCCAGGGGCGACUGACUGGGUCCAAGGCCUCCAUUGCUGGACUGUAGGUUAAGAGAACUGAGGGUGGAGCCUCUGGGCACGGCUCUUCGUCAGUCCCCGGAGGACUUGUCUUCUGCAUCCUGGACGCAUUUGCUGCUUUGAUGCACCGUGUUCUGGGGCCUGUUGUGGACCACCCCAUUCUAGGUCCCGGGUGGGUGGGGGCAUCCUGGAGGAUGACACAGCUGCACGG
rnacentral:sRNA from 1 species